CGUGACAGAAACGCUUGAAGCCAUAAUUAUGUUUGAUAUAUUUUUGGGAAAGAUCUAAUUUUACAUCAUUCCACAUCUAUUAUUAGGUCUCAAACUUAAACAUUUGUCGCAAAUGAUGUAAAAUUGUGUUCGGGAUAACUUUUUCGGGCAUAUUUACUUUUGCAACCAAAUGCACAGUCAUUUGUUAUUUUGUCUGAUCUGAGGCGCAGUGCAAUUUAAAAACCUUGACAUUAUUCGGUGAAAUCUUUCGCGAAAAGUUGUGAUAAUGGUGGGAAAUGAAGAUUCCAUCUUUUGGGGAAAACGUGCAAUUCUCAUUUAACUAAUAUUUCUGUUCUAUGCGUUCUAUGUGAACAAAAUGUUCAACGAAGGAAUUUUGGAUUUCUCUAUUGUGCCUCAAGAAGAAGGGAUUCCUGGAAUAUGGAUUUGCCUGUGCAGUAUGCAGUUUUUGAGGUAAGAAACCUGUCAAGAUUACAUUAUCAAGUAAGAUGUUUAAUUCUUCGCAUUUUCCGCAACAGCUUUCAAUAAAUACAAAACAAUCAUCUAUCAUAAAUUAACAGUAUUUUUGAUUAGUAGAUAAAACAAUUCCAUAAAGUUAAUUGCUUAAAUAAAAUCUAAUUCAAACCCGGUGUCAGCUGCGCAUUUUGGUUGCUGAAACGAGUGGCAGGUCGCCCAUAUUGCUAUGGAAAUUAGAAACAUGCCUUGACUGUUUGAUUCCCAACACGGGAAACCUGAGACCAUCCUACGACAAUUGACGACCAACAUGAAUUAAACUUUUCUUUAAUGCUAGUACACUAACAGCGGAUGCAGCAAUGAGCCGCAGGGCUCCUAUGUUGUUUAAAUCAAUCAAGACAUGUAGAAUCAGAGUCUAUCAAACAAUAUGAAAGACCCGCGACUUGUUGCAGCAAUCAAAAUGAUCCAGCCUGAAAGUCAAUUUAGGCUAAACAUUUCAGAAAGACAAAAGUGCGAAAUCCAGAAAAAAUGUUGACGAAGUAAAAAAAUCGAUCAAGUUGAAGGCUGUAUGUUCAUUAAUUUGCUCUGCACAUUUCAACUUUGAUCAUCACAAAACAAUCAAUAAUUAAAAAAAAUAUAUAUUUAAAAAUAUCAAAUAUGUUUUUUAAUGGGCGAUGGGCGCGCUCGCAAUCCCGGUAUACGAUUUCUCAUGUGUUAAACAGAGAAAGCAAUAGCCUUCACUCCAAUUUCACUCCGAUUAGCUGUCAUUCUUAUGGAAAUUUGUGUAAGAGUAAAGAGCAAGCUUUAUUCUUUUUAGCAGGCCCAAGCCCAAUUAUGCUCAUUCUGCGUAUGAAUUUUCACUUACCUCGUUUUAUAAUAUUACGCUAGGGUUAAAAACAAAAACAUAAACACAGUUGGAUAAAAACGAACCGCGAGAUUGUGCUCCGUUGUUUUGCGUUUUUUAGGUUUUCACUUCUCACAACGGUAUCCAAAACGGUGACCAACUAAGUUGAACUAUCAUCAUGUCCGAAGUCCGAAUCUGCAGUGCGAAAAAUGAGUUUUGGAUGCGCUUUCAAAUCAAUCGAGAGGACCGGCUGACUUACGGAAAAAAAUAUGCUUGGAACGUUACAAGAGCUGCCUGGUUGCUGCUGGAACAUAAUAUUGAUAAAGAGCUAGCGAAGGCAUUUCCGUUCAUCAGAAUAGUUAGCAUAAUUAAAGAAUCAAACUGGCUAAGCUUCAUCAGACUCGUACUGCUUUUCUGGCACCGGAUGCUACUGAACGAUAGGACCAGGCUUCCUGAAAAAGUGUCGUGUCUGCUCAAUAUCAACCCUACAUCUAGCAAUUAUUGUGCUUGACCGUACAAUUCAGAGAACCAGCUGCACCUUAACUUUUUUUCAAAGAACAAUGUUUAAUCUUUUGGAAGUGAACCAAAAACCUGAACGAGUAUGGUGUAUUGGACCCAACCUACCGCCUUUAAAAGACAAAAAAAUACAAUUCACGGAACACAGAAAGAAAGUGGCAAGAAUCUUGCAGUUGAGUAGCUACAGUAAAUUUUAGAUUCAAAAAUUGUUUACGCGUCAUCGAUUAUGGAUUGCUUUCCUAAGUUUCCUGAUGAGCUGAUCUGGUUGAUGGAUAGAUUUAUGAAGCACAUUUGCAGCGACACAAAGGAGCAAAAGCAGGUGAGAAAUAAAUAUAUCAGAAUUAAUGGGUCAAAAUCAAAUAAUGAUAGAUUAUGCUUAGCACUCCAUGUUCAUUUUCUUGUCGACAUAGUUAAAAAAUUUGACGGAAAUAACCGAACAGAAUAAUCAAAAUGUCGUCUUCACUAUUAGGGGUUUAUAAACAUUAAUUAUAAUAUUCAUUUCAUUUUCAAUAUUAUUUUAGAAAAUAAAGCAUCAAAACAAAGCAAGACUAGAAAUGUAUGAUUAAUAAUAAAAGUGAAAUAAAUCAAAUCCUUAUCCUUAAAAGUAAACAAAAGUUACAGCUGAAACUGAUCUAUUUUCGACGUCAAAUAGUUUUAUAAGAACAAAAAAAAUCUAAAAUGUUAGACAUGAAACACAAUAUUUGAACAGUACUAUAUUAAAGCAACUAAAUUCAAAAUUAAGCAAUAGAAAUUUUUAAAAUGCAACAAAAAAAACUAUCAAAUGAGACCUAAUGUAAAGUGAAUAUCAAGCCUUCUAAACAAAACUUUGUUAUUCAUUUAAUCAGGAAAAUAAAAUGAAAUUGAACAAAUGAUAAUUUGGAUGUUUGUAAAUCACAAGGUUCAAUGGAAACAUAUUAGAUUCACACGGAUUUACUUUAUCGAUCUUAGGCAUGGGAACAUAUAUGUAGUAAAAAUCUUCAACCAGCUGGAAAUAAAUAAAAUAAAAUUUAACUUGAAAGCUUCUAUUUCAUCUUUUAAAUUUGUUCAUAUCACAUAUCCUAAACGUUAUCAAUCAUUACAUUACAGGUUUAUUAGAAUCCUGUAAAUAUACAAACUAUUAAGAUUUUUAUCAUUCUAUUUUAUUUUUCAUUCUUCUAAAAUUUUAUUUAAUAAUUUACAGUAAGUUAACUGUUCCUACUCGCAUAACAGUGUCAUAUUGAUAGGCAUCACUAACAAUAUGGGACUGUUAUGCAAGUAGGGACAGUUAAACAGUCCUAAAACUAAGGCAGACGCAUUGUGAAAACCAACAAGCAAGUAUAAUUUUUAGGAACAACAACCUAAAUUUAUGUCAUAAACGAUGCUUUCCUUUUGUGCAUCUAAUAAGACAUAAAUUUACAUCAUCGAUGAUAUAAUAUUAUGUCAAAUAUGUCAUCAAAUUUA